AGAGUUUGAUCCUGGCUCAGAACGAACGCUGGCGGCAGGCUUAACACAUGCAAGUCGAACGCGCUUUUCGGAGCGAGUGGCGCACGGGUGAGUAACGCGUGGGAACCUGUCCUUGAGUGGGGAAUAACCUUGGGAAACUGAGGCUAAUACCGCAUACUCCCUUUGGUUGUAGUGGCCGAAGGGGAAAGAUUUAUCGCUCAAGGAGGGGCUCGCGUCAGAUUAGGUUGUUGGUGGGGUAAAGGCCUACCAAGCCUGCGAUCUGUAGCCGGUCUGAGAGGAUGGUCGGCCACACUGGAACUGAGACACGGUCCAGACUCCUACGGGAGGCAGCAGUGGGGAAUCUUGGACAAUGGGCGCAAGCCUGAUCCAGCCAUGCCGCGUGAGUGAAGAAGGCCUUCGGGUUGUAAAGCUCUUUCAGCGGAGACGAUGAUGACGGUAUCCGCAGAAGAAGCCCCGGCUAACUUCGUGCCAGCAGCCGCGGUAAUACGAAGGGUGCGAGCGUUAAUCGGAAUUACUGGGCGUAAAGCGUGCGUAGGCGGCCGUGCAAGUCAGAUGUGAAAGCCCCGGGCUUAACCUGGGAAUUGCGUUUGAAACUGCGGGGCUGGAGUUUGUCAGGGGAAGAUAGAAUUUCGUGUGUAGCGGUGAAAUGCGUAGAUAUACGAAAGAAUACUUAUAGCGAAGGCGUUCUUCUGGGGCAAUACUGACGCUGAGUCACCAAAGCGUGGGGAGCAAACAGGAUUAGAUACCCUGGUAGUCCACGCCCUAAACGAUGUCCGCUAGCUAUUGGGCGCAGGCCCAGUGGCGAAGCUAACGCGUUAAGCGGACCGCCUGGGGAGUACGGUCGCAAGAUUAAAACUCAAAGGAAUUGACGGGGACCCGCACAAGCGGUGGAUGAUGUGGUUUAAUUCGAUGCAACGCGAAAAACCUUACCUGUCCUUGACAUGUACGGAAUCCCAUGGAGACAUGGGAGUGCCUUUUGGAGCCGUAACACAGGUGUUGCAUGGCUGUCGUCAGCUCGUGUCGUGAGAUGUUGGGUUAAGUCCCGCAACGAGCGCAACCCUUGUCCUUAGUUGCCAUCAUUGAGUUGGGCACUCUAGGGAGACUGUCGGCGUCAAGCCGGAGGAAGGCGGGGAUGACGUCAAGUCCUCAUGGCCUUUAUGGGCUGGGCUACACACGUGCUACAAUGGUGGUGACAGAGGGUUGCAAAGGGGUGACCUGGAGCGAAUCCUAAAAAGCCAUCUUAGUUCGGAUUGCACUCUGCAACUCGGGUGCAUGAAGUUGGAAUCGCUAGUAAUCGCGGAUCAGCAUGCCGCGGUGAAUACGUUCUCGGGCCUUGUACACACCGCCCGUCACACCAUGGGAGUUGGUUUUACCUGAAGGCGGCGAGCCAACCUUUUAGGAGGCAGCCGACCACGGUAGGGUUAGCGACUGGGGUGAAGUCGUAACAAGGUAGCCGUAGGGGGG
rnacentral:rRNA from 1 species